UGAGGAAUAUUGGUCAAUGGGCGCAAGCCUGAACCAGCCAAGUCGCGUGAGGGAAGACGGCCCUAUGGGUUGUAAACCUCUUUUGUCAGGGAGCAAGCGGGUCACGUGUGACCCAGUUGAGAGUACCUGAAGAAAAAGCAUCGGCUAACUCCGUGCCAGCAGCCGCGGUAAUACGGAGGAUGCGAGCGUUAUCCGGAUUUAUUGGGUUUAAAGGGUGCGUAGGCGGAAUUUUAAGUCAGUGGUAAAAUUGAGAGGCUCAACCUCUUCGAGCCAUUGAAACUGGGAUUCUUGAGUGGGCGAGAAGUAUGCGGAAUGCGUGGUGUAGCGGUGAAAUGCAUAGAUAUCACGCAGAACUCCGAUUGCGAAGGCAGCAUACCGGCGCCCUACUGACGCUGAGGCACGAAAGCGUGGGGAUCAAACAGG
rnacentral:rRNA from 1 species